CCUAAGGUAGCGAAAUUCCUUGUCGGGUAAGUUCCGACCUGCACGAAUGGCGUAAUGAUGGCCAGGCUGUCUCCACCCGAGACUCAGUGAAAUUGAACUCGCUGUGAAGAUGCAGUGUACCCGCGGCAAGACGGAAAGACCCCGUGAACCUUUACUAUAGCUUGACACUGAACAUUGAGCCUUGAUGUGUAGGAUAGGUGGGAGGCUUUGAAGCGUGGACGCCAGUCUGCGUGGAGCCAACCUUGAAAUACCACCCUUUAAUGUUUGAUGUUCUAACGUUGGCCCCUUACCGGGGUUGCGGACAGUGUCUGGUGGGUAGUUUGACUGGGGCGGUCUCCUCCCAAAGCGUAACGGAGGAGCACGAAGGUUAGCUAAUCCUGGUCGGACAUCAGGAGGUUAGUGCAAUGGCAUAAGCUAGCUUGACUGCGAGCGUGACGGCGCGAGCAGGUGCGAAAGCAGGUCAUAGUGAUCCGGUGGUUCUGAAUGGAAGGGCCAUCGCUCAACGGAUAAAAGGUACUCCGGGGAUAACAGGCUGAUACCGCCCAAGAGUUCAUAUCGACGGCGGUGUUUGGCACCUCGAUGUCGGCUCAUCACAUCCUGGGGCUGAAGUAGGUCCCAAGGGUAUGGCUGUUCGCCAUUUAAAGUGGUACGCGAGCUGGGUUUAGAACGUCGUGAGACAGUUCGGUCCCUAUCUGCCGUGGGCGCUGGAGAAUUGAGGGGGGCUGCUCCUAGUACGAGAGGACCGGAGUGGACGCAUCACUGGUGUUCGGGUUGUCAUGCCAAUGGCACUGCCCGGUAGCUAAAUGCGGAAGAGAUAAGUGCUGAAAGCAUCUAAGCACGAAACUUGCCCCGAGAUGAGUUCUCCCUGAGACUUUAAGUCUCCUGAAGGAACGUUGAAGACGACGACGUUGAUAGGCCGGGUGUGUAAGCGCAGCGAUGCGUUGAGCUAACCGGUACUAAUGAACCGUGAGGCUUAACCUU
rnacentral:rRNA from 2 species